UAAGCAUAUCAAUAAGCGGAGGAAAAGAAACCAACCGGGGAUUGCCUCAGUAACGGCGAGUGAAGCGGCAAGAGCUCAAAUUUGAAAGCUGGCCCCUCCGGGGUCCGCGUUGUAAUUUGCAGAGGAUGCUUUGGGUGCGGCCCCCGUCUAAGUGCCCUGGAACGGGCCGUCAGAGAGGGUGAGAAUCCCGUCUUGGGCGGGGUGUCCGUGCCCGUGUAAAGCUCCUUCGACGAGUCGAGUUGUUUGGGAAUGCAGCUCUAAAUGGGUGGUAAAUUUCAUCUAAAGCUAAAUACUGGCCGGAGACCGAUAGCGCACAAGUAGAGUGAUCGAAAGAUGAAAAGCACUUUGAAAAGAGAGUUAAACAGCACGUGAAAUUGUUGAAAGGGAAGCGCUUGCGACCAGACUCGCCCUCGGGGUUCAGCCGGCACUCGUGCCGGUGUACUUCCCCGGGGGCGGGCCAGCGUCAGCUUGGGCGGCCGGUCAAAGGCCUCCGGAAUGUAGUGCCCCCCGGGGCACCUUAUAGCCGGAGGUGCAAUGCGGCCAGCCUGGGCUGAGGAACGCGCUUCGGCACGGACGCUGGCAUAAUGGUCGCAAACGACCCGUCUUGAAACACGGACCAAGGAGUCUAACAUCUACGCGAGUGUUCGGGUGUCAAACCCGUACGCGCAGUGAAAGCAAACGGAGGUGGGAGCCCCCUCGCGGGGCGCACCAUCGACCGAUCCUGAUGUCUUCGGAUGGAUUUGAGUAAGAGCGUAAAUGUGGGGACCCGAAAGAUGGUGAACUAUGCCUGAAUAGGGCGAAGCCAGAGGAAACUCUGGUGGAGGCUCGCACCGGUUCUNACG
rnacentral:rRNA from 1 species